AAAGAUGCCCUCGAGUGAGUGUGUUUCCUCAGGGGAGAAUUGACCUGAGAACAGAGGGCAUGUCUCACCUGGCAUCCAGGCACACAGGCUGAGCACUGCCAGUGUCAGAGAACGGCCUUGAGCAGAGAGUCCUAGGGACUUGCAACAGAAGCCAUCAGCGAGGACAGGAACGAAUUCGUCUAAUGAAGGAAGAAAGACGUUAAAGUAACUCGUCCCGCAACUUGUUACCUGAUUAAAUUGUGGUGAGUGGUGAAGGAGAGGAAGCCACAGACACUCAGGGCAGGGGAAGUGGACCAGCUCUGGAGUGUCCCAGGAGGCUCUGUCAGGAGUGAUAUCGAAGCUGAACUUUAAAGAUGAACAGCCUGGACAUUGGCACCUGGAGCUCCUGGUGGGACUCACCCUGCAUGGAAGACUGCCAUGACCACCAGGCCACCCCACUGAGACAGAAGGUGACCUUGACCACCCAUGAGAAUGAUUUAAGUACUGUGGAGUUAUGUAUACUGUACCACUGUUAAAAAUAUGUACAUAGCAUAAAAUUU
rnacentral:lncRNA from 1 species